UCAUAAAGUGCGUCGUAGUCCGGAUUGGAGUCUGCAACUCGACUCCAUGAAGUCGGAAUCGCUAGUAAUCGUGGAUCAGAAUGCCACGGUGAAUACGUUCCCGGGCCUUGUACACACCGCCCGUCACACCAUGGGAGUGGGUUGCAAAAGAAGUAGGUAGCUUAACCUUCGGGAGGGCGCUUACCACUUUGUGAUUCAUGACUGGGGUGAAGUCGUAACAAGGUAACCGUAGGGGAACCUGCGGUUGGAUCACCUCCUUA
rnacentral:rRNA from 2 species